UGUCUAGUCAGCAUGGUCCUUACGGCCUGGGCGACACACGUGCUACAAUGGCCGGUACAACGCGUCGCCACCUCGCGAGAGGGAGCUAAUCGCUAAAGCCGGUCCCAGUUCAGAUCGCAGUCUGCAACUCGACUGCGUGAAGUCGGAAUCGCUAGUAAUCGCGGAUCAGCCAUGCCGCGGUGAAUACGUUCCCGGGUCUU
rnacentral:rRNA from 1 species